AAGGUAGCGAAAUUCCUUGUCGGGUAAGUUCCGACCUGCACGAAUGGCGUAACGAUCUCCACACUGUCUCGGCCAGAGACUCGGUGAAAUUGCAGUCGCGGUGAAAAUUCCGUGUACCCGCAGAAAGACGGAAAGACCCUGUGCACCUUUACUAUAGCUUGACAUUGGAUUUUGGGCCUGCAUGUGUAGGAUAGGUGGGAGGCUGUGAACCCUGUACGCCAGUAUGGGGGGAGCCAUCCUUGAAAUACCACCCUUGCAUGUUUAAGAUCCUAACUUCUUCCGGUUAUCCCGGAGAAAGACAGUGUCUGGCGGGUAGUUUGACUGGGGCGGUCGCCUCCUAAAGUGUAACGGAGGCAUGCAAAGGUUCCCUCAGCCUGAUCGGAAACCAGGCGCUGAGUGCAAACGCAUAAGGGAGCUUGACUGUAAGAGAGACAUCUCGAACAGGAACGAAAGUUGGCGUUAGUGAUCCGGUGGUCCCGAAUGGAAGGGCCAUCGCUCAUUGGAUAAAAGGUACGCCGGGGAUAACAGGCUGAUCGCAUCCAAGAGUUCACAUCGACGAUGCGGUUUGGCACCUCGAUGUCGGCUCAUCACAUCCUGGGGCUGAAGCAGGUCCCAAGGGUACGGCUGUUCGCCGUUUAAAGUGGUACGCGAGCUGGGUUUAAAACGUCGUGAGACAGUUUGGUCCCUAUCUUCUGUGGGCGAAGGAGAAUUGAGAGGGCCUGUCCCUAGUACGAGAGGACCGGGAUGGACGCACCCCUGGUGAUCCUGUUGUCGCGCCAGCGGCAUAGCAGGGUAGCUAUGUGCGGAAGGGAUAACCGCUGAAAGCAUCUAAGCGGGAAGCCUGCCUUAAGAUAAGUUCUCCCUGACGCAAGUCCUGAAGGGCCGAGGUAGACUACCUCGUUGAUAGGCUGGGGGUGGAAGCGCCGCGAGGCGUGGAGCUGACCAGUACUAAUAGCCCGUGAGGCUUGUUCU
rnacentral:rRNA from 1 species